AGCGAACGCUGGCGGCAGGCCUAACACAUGCAAGUCGAACGAACUCUUCGGAGUUAGUGGCGGACGGGUGAGUAACACGUGGGAACGUGCCUUUUGGUUCGGAAUAACUCAGGGAAACUUGUGCUAAUACCGAAUGUGCCCUUCGGGGGAAAGAUUUAUCGCCAUUAGAGCGGCCCGCGUCUGAUUAGCUAGUUGGUGAGGUAACGGCUCACCAAGGCGACGAUCAGUAGCUGGUCUGAGAGGAUGACCAGCCACACUGGGACUGAGACACGGCCCAGACUCCUACGGGAGGCAGCAGUGGGGAAUCUUGCGCAAUGGGCGAAAGCCUGACGCAGCCAUGCCGCGUGAAUGAUGAAGGUCUUAGGAUUGUAAAAUUCUUUCACCGGGGACGAUAAUGACGGUACCCGGAGAAGGAGCCCCGGCUAACUUCGUG
rnacentral:rRNA from 1 species